rnacentral:rRNA from 1 species
GAUGAACGCUGGCGGCGUGCCUAAUACAUGCAAGUCGAGCGAACGGACGAGAACCUGGAUUCUCAGGUGUUAGCGGCGGACGGGUGAGUAACACGUGGAUAACCUACCUCUCAGCCUGGGAUAACUGCGGGAAACCGGCGCUAAUACCGGAUAAUGUUGUGAACUACAUGGUUCAAAAGAGAAAGACGGGCUUGCUGUCACUUAUCGAUGGAUCCGCGCUGUAUUAGCUAAUUGGUAAGGUAACGGCUUACCAAGUCAACGAUGCAUAGCCGACCUGAGAGGGGGAUCGGCCACACGGGAACUGAGACACGGUCAAUACUCCUGAGGGAGGCAGCAGUAGGGAAUCUUCCGCAAUGGGCGAAAGCCUGACGGAGCAACGCCGCGUGAGUGAUGAAGGUCUUCGGAUCGUAAAGCUCUGUUAUUAGGGAAGAACAUAUGUGUAAGUAACUGUGCACAUCUUGACGGUACCUAAUCAGAAAGCCACGGCUAACUACGUG